CCCUGGUGCACCAAAUCUUUGGGCCGUUCUUUCUCCUCCAGACCUGCCCCUGCCCCUGCCUGGCAAUCUUCUCGUCUCUCUCUGCCCCAGACCCCAGUGCCAGUGCCCCAGCGGCGCAGGCGCAGGCGCAGCAGCGGACGGAGCCUGCCCUCCCUCUCCCUCCCAGACCCCAGUGAAGGCUGGCUGGCUGAUGGCGAGAGUGGCAUGGCAGCCUGACAAGAAAACAAAUUCAGACACACCAUUACUGCUGCCGCUGCUACCUUUCGUGUCCGACGAGCACACUCCAUUCCCUCCCUCUCCCUGCACCGUACCGUGGUUCGGUUCGGUUCGUUUGACCCAGCGAUGGCAUCUUUGAUUUGGCAUCAUUUUGCCCUGCCCGUCCUCAUCAAAGCUCCAAACUCGAGCGGAACUUUUGGGCUUUUUCGUGAGUGGAUCCAUCAUCAACAGUGACAUUGCAGCAGGGCCAGGGGCGCAGCGUCCGAGGUAAAGAGUUCCGGCACUGACAGCGUGCGUAGAGCUGCUGGUGGUGAUCUUUUCUUUCCCUGCUGUGGUGUGUCAAGGACUUCAGAAGGCGAGGAAACGGAUGGAGUGCCUUGGCUAGGAGCAGUGUGCAAGCACAUACAACAUGGCUCGCUUUGGAAGCUUCAAUGGCAGGCUGUAUCUGCUUUACAAAACAUCGAUUCCAUGGUGCUUUCUCAACACCAUCUACUCAGGACUGUUAAGGAGAAAUCAUGCGCCAAUUUUAUAAACUUUAAUUUAAUUUUAUGUAUAUACAUGAAAUCAAUAUUUUUUUCC